rfam:Trichobilharzia regenti genome assembly, scaffold: TRE_scaffold0015289
UUCAGGUAUGGAGAUAUUGUACCGACUACAAUCAUUGGAAAAGUAGUUGGAGGAAUUUGUUCGCUAUCUGGUGUGCUUGUUAUCGCUUUACCAGUACCUGUUAUUGUUUCACAC